rnacentral:rRNA from 1 species
AUACGUAGGGGGCUAGCGUUAUCCGGAUUUACUGGGCGUAAAGGGUGCGUAGGUGGUUUCUUAAGUCAGGAGUGAAAGGCUACGGCUCAACCGUAGUAAGCCUUUGAAACUGGGAAACUUGAGUGCAGGAGAGGUAAGUGGAAUUCCUAGUGUAGCGGUGAAAUGCGUAGAUAUUAGGAGGAACACCAGUAGCGAAGGCGGCUUACUGGACUAUAACUGACACUGAGGCUCGAAAGCGU